rnacentral:rRNA from 1 species
CUACGGGUCGCUCCAGUGGGGAAUAUUGGACAAUGGGGGAAACCCUGAUCCAGCAAUGCCGCGUGUGUGAAGAAGGCCUGCGGGUUGUAAAGCACUUUCGGUUGGGAGGACUGCUUCUAGCACUAAUAUUGUUGGAAGUUGACGUUACCUUCAGAAGAAGCACCGGCUAACUCCGUGCCAGCAGCCGCGGUAAUACGGAGGGUGCCAGCGUUAAUCGGAAUUACUGGGCGUAAAGCGCGCGUAGGCGGCUAGAUCAGUCGGGUGUGAAAGCCCCGGGCUUAACCUGGGAACUGCAUCCGAUACUGUCUAGCUUGAGUACAGGAGGGGAGAGUGGAAUUCCACAUGUAGCGGUGAAAUGCGUAGAUAUGUGGAGGAACACCAAUGGCGAAGGCAGCUCUCUGGCCUGAUACUGACGCUGAGGUGCGAAAGCGUGGGGAGCAAACAGGAUUAGAUACCCGCGUAGUC